GCGGAUGUGGCGAAAUUGGUAGACGCACCAGAUUUAGGUUCUGGCGGGAGACCGUGGGGGUUCGAGUCCCUCCAUCCGCA
rfam:Bartonella clarridgeiae strain 73, complete genome